AACAUGGCUUCUUGUAGGUAUAAGAAGUCUGACCUGCCCAGUGACAUAAAUUUAACGGCCGCGGUAUACUGACCGUGCAAAGGUAGCAUAAUCAUUAGUCUCUUAAUAGGGGACUGGAAUGAAGGGUUUGACGAAAUACUGACUGUCUCAAUCUAAUAUAUUUUAAUUUGAUUUUUGAGUCAAAAAGCUUAAAUUUUAUUGAAGGACGAGAAGACCCUAUAGAGCUUUAUAAUUAAUACUUAAGGUUAUUUUUAUUUUAUUUCGCUCUUUAAGUAUUAAUUUUUUUGUUGGGGUGACAACAGAUAUAUAAAUAACUUUUUUAUUUAAGAUACAUUUAUUUAUGGUAAAUAGAUCCAAUACUAUUGAUUAUUAGAGUAAGUUACCUUAGGGAUAACAGCGUAAUCUUCUUUCGAGAGUUCNAUAUUUACAAGGAGGGUUGCGACCUCGAUGUUGGAUUAAGAUUAUAAUUAGGUGUAGCAGCUUAAUUUAUAGGUCUGUUCGACCUUUAAAUUCUUACAUG
rnacentral:rRNA from 1 species